GCUCACUUUACAACGAGGUGCUCACAUCCUUUUUGGUCUCCGGAUUUACAUUGUGUGGAUCAUGAUGCCAUUGUGUCUGCUAGUGAGACCACUGUGAGACAGCACACAGGAACAUCCGGUACAGUCAGCCAGAUCUUGCUGCUAGGGCGACAGCCUUAAGAGUUCUGCCCAGUGUCGAUCCAGAAGGAAGCGGCUGUUGGAAGCGAGGCAGAGAGUACUGGCAGAAGAUGAAGUGGAACAUGUGGAAAGUCUAGAAGAGCCUCUCUCCCCCAUUCAAAUUAUCGGAGGGCUGAACCGGAAGUUAGCCAGUUCACCAGCAGAAGUCAACACAGUGGAACAUAUAAACCCCACCGCCAACUAGCAUUUUGGCAGUGUAAUUGCAGAGAGACACAGACAGCAACUCACAAGUAUUAAUGUGAGGAUACCUGCGUUGCCAAAGUCACAGGUAUCAGCGUUGAGUCAAUGCAGUCUAAAUCUAGCGCCCCUUCUCUGCUUUUGAUUGGCUCUCACCUUCUUCCACGAGUGAGUUAUGGGGACAACACACGCACACAAAAAUUGUCCUGCAAAAUGUUAGGUGCAAUAGAUUUCUGGCGCACCUGCACUUGUACUCUGGACCCACGCAUAUUAAAGAUUUGAGACCGAUAUAUGUUUACUAUGAGCAGGUUUCAGUAGGCAACAUUUCGGGUAGCAUGCCUGUAAAAUUGUAAAACUUUCUACAACAAAGGGGAAAACUUGGUAAAGCUUGUAAAUGAUGUGUCAGGAUAGGUCAGA